rnacentral:misc_RNA from 1 species
UACGGAGGGGGCUAGCGUUGUUCGGAAUUACUGGGCGUAAAGGGCGCGUAGGCGGCCAAGCAAGUCAGGGGUGAAAUCCCUCGGCUCAACCGAGGAACUGCCUCUGAAACUGCAUGGCUUGAGACCGGGAGAGGGUGGUGGAAUUCCUAGUGUAGCGGUGAAAUGCGUAGAUAUUAGGAGGAACACCAGUGGCGAAGGCGACCACCGUGACCGGAUCUGACGCUGAGGCGCGAAAAUGUGGGGAGCAAACAGG